rnacentral:tRNA from 1 species
AACUGCUUCUAAUUAUUUGUCUUGAAAACAAAUCACAGGAAUUCUCUGAGCAGUUC